UUCCUUCCUUCCUUUCUUUCUUUUCUUUUCUUUUUGCAUGGGGAGGGGAAAAAUCAACCUUACCAUCCACUCUCCCAUAUGCUUCAACUUUCAUGUCUGUUUUGCUAUCGAUUCCAUUAGCAUAAUGAUUAAUGAAAGUUCUCCAGAAUUUCAGAUUCCUUGAAAAGUAGCCAGUGCUUGCUCUUUGGAAGCGACAUCAAAUAAAGAACAAUAAAAAGAGGGUGCUUUAGGCUUUGGAAAUCUUCACAGACACAUCGCUGUGAUCUUUUUAUCACUGCUGCGGAAAAGAGGACAGCAUUUCAUAUUUCUGGCAUUACUAAUGACAACAUGACAACUGCAAGAAAGCAUGGAUUUCUGGGGGUAGCACAGGGAACGGGACUCCUGCUGCGCUCACCAGCUCCCUGCUCCGCACAGCUGCCUUCUCAGCUGGGGGUUUUAAAUCAGCACUGAGAAAAUACAGAAAUGACCGUGAUGCAUCUUCCUCACCACGAGAAAAAGACGAUGCCAACUGAGUGAUCUGCUUUUAGUCAGCUAGAAACAACAUUAAUCCCUACUGAGACUAGUUCCUCCUAACCCCACACUCUUCAAAGGUUCAUGGCUCUCCUGUGGCAGGGGAAUGAGCUCCCCAGUGUCCACAUGGAUCAUGGCCAAGUUGGACUCCACACAUGGAUUAAUGGACUUUAAUUAGCGUGGAUGCUGAACCACACCCAGCUGCAACAUUGAAUGGAAGCUCUAGACACUGCCUUACUUUUCAUUCUGUUGAACUCCCAGAUGCUACUCUUUUAGGACUAGCUUGGGAGAAAUGGGUCAUUGGAAACUGAGGAAUGUAACUCCAUGCCAAUAAAACCUUCUACCACCUC